rnacentral:rRNA from 1 species
CUUGAACGCUGGCGGCAGGCCUAACACAUGCAAGUCGAACGAGUGGCGGACGGGUGCGUAAUGUCUGGGAAACUGCCUGAUGGCGGGGGAUAACUACUGGACACGGUCGCUAAUACCGCAUACCAUCGGAUUUGCCCAGAUGGGAUUAGCUAGUAGGUGGGGUAACGGCUCACCGAGGCGACGAUCCCUAGCUGGUCUGAGGGGAUGACGAGCAAAACUGGAACGGAGACACGGUCCAGACUCCGACGGGAGGCAGCAGUGGGGAAUAUUGCACAAUGGGCGCAAGCCUGAGGCAGCCAUGCCGCGGGUAUGAAGAAGGCCUUCGGGUUGUAAAGUACUUUCAGCGGGGAGGCGUUACCCGCAGAAGAAGCACCGGCUAACUCCGUGCCAGCAGCCGCGGUAAUAC